CUAUUCCCGGCUGUCCAUCCCUAUAAUUACCCCAUCCCAGGCAGCAGCCGGGGCCGGAGCUCCCAGGUUUCUCCUUCCCGAGUAUUUUUAGCUGCGGUUCCAGCCGGGAAAGGGCCCGGCAGCCGCAGCCCGGAGGAAGAGCCGGGUCCCGCCGCCUCUCUUGGGCUCAUCCGGCUGAACAAUGGCCCGAAGAGGCUGGAAAAUGCUCCCGCUUCCCGGGGCUGGCGCCGGGAGCCGGGCAGGGCUGGGCAGGCUCUUGGAGAGCCCCGUCCCCGCCCCGGCACCAGCGCUGCCACCCGCGGGGUGACCUCGGCCUGCUGGGACGGCUCUCAUCGCCCCCAGCAUGAGCGUCCCUCCGGGGAAGAGGGAUUGUCCCCAAAUCCAUGAAAUCCGUGUCCCUGACCCUUAGGGGCAACCUAAGGCCACCAGGAGCGUGGGGACAGCUUGGGGACACGGGUGACCUGAGGCUCUCCCGAGAUCCCAACGCUCAGGCCGAGCCAUUCCUUCAGGGAUUUCAGGAUUGUCCCCAAAUCCGUGAAAUCCUUGUCACUACCCUUUGGAGGAACAUGGCGGGAGGGGGACAGCCACCCAAGGCCACCAGGAGCAUGGGGACAGCUCGGGGACAGCCACCCAAGGCCACCAGGAGCACGGGGACAGCUCGGGGACAUGGGGUGACAGUGAGGCAGAGGAGGAGGAGGGCUCUGGCAGCAGACGAAGGCUCGGGGGCUGGACGCUGCCCACCGCUGUCCCCACGUGUCCCCUCUCCCCAGGCCCGGCUGGAGGCCAAUGUCACCGCGCUGGGGGACGCGCUGGUGGCCCUGCGGCGAGAGCGGGCCGAGCUGGCCGGUGACAAAGCGGCGCUGCAAGGUGAGCUCUGUCCCCCGCACACCGAGGCCGGCCGGGGCUCCGCCAGCCCGAUUCGGGGUGACGCCGGUGUCGCCGCUGUCCCCAGAGGAGGUGGCGCGGGGCGCGGAGCAGGCGCGGGGGCUGCGGCGGCGGCUGCAGGAGGCGCUGGAGCAGCAGCGGGAGCUGCGGGAGCGCCGGGAGCGCUGCGAGGCGCGGCACAGGGACCUGGAGAACACCCUCCGGGACUACGCGGCCGAGGUGGAGGCGCUGCGGCGGCGGGGGAGGGACAGAGCCACCGGGCGCAGGUGUCCCCUGUCCCGGAAAGGCUGAGGCCCCGCAGCCCCCCCGGUCCCGCCCCGCUGAGCGCGACGUUCCCGGUGUCCCCGCCGUGUCCCCGCGGUGUCCCCAACACCGGGACCAGCGGGGGCUCAUUCCCGGCCCCGGAGCCGCCAGCGCAGCCCGGGGAGCGAUGGGGGUGGGAGACGUGUCCUGAUCCCAUCCUGUGUGCCCUAAUCCCACUGAGAUUCCUGAUUUGAUCCCGUGUCCCCAUCCCACUGUGGCUCCUGAUCCCAUCCCAUGUCCCGAUCCCGCGGUGUCCCGAUCCCAUCCUGCGCACUGAUCCCGCGGUGUCCCGAUCCCACUGCACGUCCUAAUCCCGCUGUGUCCCAAUCCCGAUCCCGAUCCCACCGCGUGUCCCGAUCCCACAUCCCCCAAUCCCUUUGCGAUGCCACCGCGUGUCCCAUUCCCGCGGUGUCCCCAUCCCACUCCGCAGCCGGACACGGGACUGAGGGGUCCCUUUCCCGGUUUUGGGGCAGUUUCGGCUCAUCCCGGACACCGUUUUCCCACCGGAGCUCUGGGAUGCGCUCCGGGAGUUACCGCCACAUCCGCAGCGCUCCGGAAACCGGGAACACCGGGAAUUUUGGGAAGAUUGGGUAAUAAAGGCUGCUCUGCUCUCGGGGACAUCUCCCUGCGCCACCAGCCCGCUGUCCCCUAUUCCCCUGACCCCAACUGGCCCCUCCCCAAACCCAAAUAUCUCCCCAAACUCCAGCGAUUUCUCCCAUCCCCGGAUCCCAACGGCACUGCCAGGGACCCCAAAACGCGCCGAGGGGGGACUGGGGGACACGGAGCCACCACCCGCCUGUCGCGGGGCCACUCCCGGUGUCCGUCCCCUCACGGCGACAUCGCUGCCACGGUGGCUCCACCCAGCCGGGGGUUGGCAGCAGUGUCCCCACCCCAGUGUCACCCAGGCUGGCUUGGGGACACGCCGGGGACUCGGAGGGGACUCCGUGAAGGGACGAAGGUGGCGUUUGGGGUGGGAUGGCUGAAGGGGGGGAGGACACACUGCCCCUUUGCCCCUCAGUGCCACCACAAGCGGGGUGUCCGGCGGUGUCCA
ensembl:lncRNA